AAACUGUUGGUACAACUAAUCUGCAUAUGUGUAUUUAUUGAUGGUUGAAUAGUCAUGAAGGUUAAACUAUGUAUCGAAGUAUAUGUAUAUAGUGUAUACUUGUUAUGAGUGAAAAUAUGUAAGCAUCUAAGUUGUGUAGGUAACUGUGUUAGAGUGAAGGGAUUGAGUUGUAAAAUUAUAAAAUAAGAACAUUUAAAAGUGUGAAAAUCCAUUUAACAGGUAUCAACGUGGGGAGUGUGUGUGUGUGUGGCCAUUUUUGGCAAGUGAGUGUGGUCAACCCUAU
rnacentral:lncRNA from 1 species